rnacentral:rRNA from 1 species
UACGUAGGCAGCAAGCGUUGUUCGGAAUUACUGGGCGUAAAGAGUGUAUAGGCGGUGCUCCAAGUCUGGUGUGAAAUCUCCCGGCUUAACUGGGAGGGUGCAUUAGAAACUGGAAUGCUAGAGGAUGGGAGAGGUAAGCGGAAUUCCUGGUGUAGCGGUGAAAUGCGUAGAUAUCAGGAGGAACACCUGUGGUGUAGACAGCUUACUGGACCAUUUCUGACGCUGAGACACGAAAGCGUGGGUAGCAAACAGG